rnacentral:rRNA from 1 species
AAUAUUGGACAAGGGGGGCAACCCUGAUCCAGCCAUGCCGCGUGUUUGAAGAAGGNCUNNGGAUUNUNAAGCACUUUAAUGUGNNNNNAAGGGCUUUAGGUUAAUACCCUGAAGUUUGGACGUUACCAACAGAAUAAGCACCGGCUAACUCUGUGCCAGCAGCGGCGGUAAUACAGAGGGUGCAAGCGUUAAUCGGAAUUACUGAGGAUAAAGCGCGCGUAGGUGGUUCAGUAAGAUGGGUGUGAAAUCCCCGGGCUUAACCUGGGAACUGCUUUCAUAACUGCUGAGCUAGAGUACGGUAGAGGGUAGUGGAAUUUCCUGUGUAGCGGUGAAAUGCGUAGAUAUAGGAAGGAACACCAGUGGCGAAGGCGACUACCUGGACUGAUACUGACACUGAGGUGCGAAAGCGUGGGGAGCAAAC